rnacentral:rRNA from 1 species
GACGAACGCUGGCGGCGUGCUUAACACAUGCAAGUCGAACGGAAAGGCCCUGCUUUUGUGGGGUGCUCGAGUGGCGAACGGGUGAGUAACACGUGAGUAACCUGCCCUUGACUUUGGGAUAACUUCAGGAAACUGGGGCUAAUACCGGAUAGGAGCUCCUGCUGCAUGGUGGGGGUUGGAAAGUUUCGGCGGUUGGGGAUGGACUCGCGGCUUAUCAGCUUGUUGGUGGGGUAGUGGCUUACCAAGGCUUUGACGGGUAGCCGGCCUGAGAGGGUGACCGGCCACAUUGGGACUGAGAUACGGCCCAGACUCCUACGGGAGGCAGCAGUGGGGAAUAUUGCACAAUGGGCGGAAGCCUGAUGCAGCAACGCCGCGUGCGGGAUGACGGCCUUCGGGUUGCAAACCGCUUUCGCCUGUGGCGAAGCGUGAGUGACGGUAAUGGGUAAAGAAGCACCGGCUAACUACGUG